AUACGGAGGUUGCAAGCGUUGUUCGGAAUAACUGGGCGUAAAGGGAGCGCAGGCGGUUUGAUCAGUCUGAAGUGGAAGCCCGGGGCUCAACCCCGGAAGGCCUUUGGAUACUGUCAAACUUGAGUUCGUGAGAGGAGAGUGGAAUUCCAGGUGUAGCGGUGAAAUGCGUAGAUAUCUGGAGGAACAUCGAUGGCGAAGGCAACUCUCUGGCACGAUACUGACGCUGAGGCUCGAAAGCGUGGGGAGCGAACAGGAUUAGAAACCCUAGUAGUCC
rnacentral:rRNA from 1 species